rnacentral:rRNA from 1 species
GCAGUGGAACGCAGUGAAUUCACCGGAGCUUGCUCCACCGAAUUGACUGAGUCGCGAACGGGUGAGUAACGCGUAGGUAACCAACCUUAUAGCGGGGGACAACUAUUGGAAACGAUAGCUAAUACCGCAUAACAAUGACAAACACAUGUUAGUGAUUUGAAAGGGGCAAAUGCUCCACUAUAAGCUGGACCUGCGUUGUAUUAGCUAGUUGGUAGGGUAAAGGCCUACCAAGGCUGCGAUACAUAGCCGACCUGAGAGGGUGAACGGCCACACUGGGACUGAGACACGGCCCAGACUCCUACGGGAGGCAGCAGUAGGGAAUCUUCGGCAAUGGGGGGAACCCUGACCGAGCAACGCCGCGUGAGUGAAGAAGGUUUUCGGAUCGUAAAGCUCUGUUGUCAGAGAAGAACGGGUGUGAGAGUGGAAAGUUCACACAGUGACGGUACCUGACGAGAAAGGGACGGCUAACUACGUGCCAGCAGCCGCGGUAAUACGUAGGUCCCGAGCGUUGUCCGGAUUUAUUGGGCGUAAAGCGAGCGCAGGCGGCUCUGUAAGUCUGAAGUAAAAGGCAGUGGCUUAACCAUUGUGUGCUUUGGAAACUGCGGGGCUUGAGUGCAGAAGGGGAGAGUGGAAUUCCAUGUGUAGCGGUGAAAUGCGUAGAUAUAUGGAGGAACACCGGUGGCGAAAGCGGCUCUCUGGUCUGAGACUGACGCUGAGGCUCGAAAGCGUGGGUAGCGAACAGGAUUAGAUACCCUGGUAGUCCACGCCGUAAACGCUGAGUGCUAGGUGUUAGGCCCUUUCCGGGGCUUAGUGCCGUAGCUAACGCAAUAAGCACUCCGCCUGGGGAGUACGACCGCAAGGUUGAAACUCAAAGGAAUUGACGGGGGCCCGCACAAGCGGUGGAGCAUGUGGUUUAAUUCGAAGCAACGCGAAGAACCUUACCAGGUCUUGACAUCCCGGUGCCAGUCCUAGAGAUAGGAUUUUUCUUCGGAA